rnacentral:rRNA from 1 species
UACGUAGGGGCAAGCGUUGUCCGGAAUAAUUGGGCGUAAAGGGAGCGUAGGCGGCCGGGUGUGUCGAAUGUGAAAGCCCACAACUCAACUGUGGAAUGGCAUUCGAAACUACCUGGCUAGAGUACUGGAGAGGAGAGCGGAAUUCUUGGUGUAGCGGUGAAAUGCGUAGAUAUCAAGAGGAACACCGGUGGCGAAGGCGGCUCUCUGGACAGAUACUGACGCUGAGGCUCUAAAGUUAGGGGAGCAAACAGGAUUAGAUACCCCGGUAGU